rnacentral:rRNA from 1 species
AGCUCCAAUAGCGUAUAUUAAAGUUGUUGCAGUUAAAAAGCUCGUAGUUGGAUUUCUGGUAGGAGCGACCGUGCCGAACUUGAUUGUUCGUGUAUUGUGUUGUCUUCAGCCAUCCUCGUGGAGAACUUUUCCGGCAUUAAUUUGUCGGGAUUGGGACCCGCGUCGUUUACUGUGAAAAAAUUAGAGUGUUUAAAGCAGGCAAUCGCUUGAAUACAUUAGCAUGGAAUAAUAAGAUAGGACUUUGGUACUAUUUUGUUGGUUUGCAUACCAAAUUAAUGAUCAACAGGAACAGUUUGAGGAUAUUCGUAUGAACAUGUCAGAGGUGAAAUUCUUGGAUUUUGAUCAGACGAACUACUGCGAAAGCAUUUAUCAAGGAUGUUUUCAUUAAUCAAGAACGAAA